AUAUUGGGUCAUCGUAAUCUCUGCAACAAGGAACUUCGGUCUGCCAGCUACAAUCCUUGCCGAACAACAACACUUCUCAACUUCUCAGCUUUUAUUUUGUUUUCUCUCUCUAAGCUUCGGAGGAGAGAGCCUGCGGUGGCCGCAGCCUGACCUAAUAGUGAUACUUUAGAUGGCAGGAAGGAACCGUGUUCAUCGGGAACUUGACCGCCAUCGUGGUCACCUUGUAGAAGGGCCUCUUGUCCGCGGUCCUAUACCCCGGAAUAUGCCUAAUCAUCAUGCUUUAUUAGAGGAAGAACUUGAAAUGCGGCAUGUUGAUAUUCGCAGGCUUUUGGGUGAAAAUCGGAGACUGGUUGAAGACCGAAUUACUCUGCAGCAGGAGUUGGGUGCUGCUAAGGAGGAGCUACAUCGCAUGAACCUUGUUGUGGCUGAUAUUCAGGCUGAACAUGAGCUCCAUUCCAGGGAACUUAUAGAAAAGGGUCUAAAGUUGGAAGCUGAUCUUCGAGCCAUUGAACCCCUGAAAAAUGAGGCCAGUCAACUAAGGACCGAAGUUCAAAGGCUGCAUGGCAUAAAGAAGGAUCUCCAAGGGCAGGUGCAGACACUAACAAAAGACAUUUCCAAAUUGCGAGCUGAAAACCAACAGAUUCCACUUUUAAGGGUGGAGAUUGACGGAUUACAUCAGGAGCUUUUUCAUGCUAGAUCUGCUGUUGAAUAUGAAAAGAAGGCAAAAAUUGAACUAAUGGACCAGAGACAGGGGAUGGAGAAAAACUUGGCGUCAAUGGCACACGAAGUGGAUAAGCUACGUUCUGAGCUUGCAAAUUCUGAGGGUAGAUCUUGGGUUCCCGGUGGACCGUACUCAAUAAAUUUCGGCACUCCUGAUAGCAACUUCCCUGCACCCUAUGGUGAGGGAUACGGGGGUCAUCUGGGUGCUGCCAACAAGGGCCCUUUAUAUGGUGCUGGCUCAGCUUCAUGGGGAGGACCUGAGAAACCUCGAAUGUCUCGCCGUUGAAUUGUUCAGAUCCUGUAGUGUGCUGUCCUGUAUAAACUGGAGCAAGGAGUGUCUGAUGUCUUCCAUUUGUGCGUAAACGAUCUUAUGUCAGCUCUCUUCCCAGUUGUCCUUGAAGAUAAUUGGUUAUGUUUACUUGUAUAUGGGCAUUAAGGUUACUCUUUCUGAACUAAUGGGAUCUAACAGAAUUGGCUGGUUUACCUGAUUGGACCAACUUAAUUUUAAAAUGUCCGAGGAGAUUCUUGAGGUGAAGUUGGAGAUUACAAAAGCUGAUAAGGUAUUUUUUGAGGUGGCUCUUUUGAAAUCUUGGGCUGCAGGUGGAAAUAAUCUUUCGAAUGUGACUUAGACAAAUGGAUUGAGAUGGGUCUGGGCAUUUUUCAGGUUGAAGGUUGGGUCAAUUGAUUAUUAGUAACAAGCACUCUCGUUAGAACCAUUUUGUUCAAAUUAUGCAGUCACACUUGAGAAGCAUUGCCUACACUUUUGUAAGUCAUCCUUGUUGAGGUUCUGAUUUUGCCCCCUACAUAUGGCAUUGUGGUUUUUUGUAAGUCAUCCUUGUUGAGGUUCUGAUUUUGCCCCCUACAUAUAGCAUUGUGGUUUGGUUAGGCAAGAACUUACCGGCUUCAGGAAGUUAGAGAAGUGCCGAGUCCCAGCCACCAAUUCAAGUGCUUCAGAAAGAUCAAGUGGUUGAUCAUGAAAUUUGACGAGACUUGCUCUUGAAAUGUUUGAUCUGAUCAGAGUGUAAUCUUACUUGGUUUUAAGUUAUCAUCUCUGGUGUGGAUGUUUUGCAGUCCACACGUUUGAUUGAGCUCCAGUCCAGUGUCAACUUGACUAGGGUGUGAGAGAUGGCUCAGUACUAUGCAGCUAUACUACAGGCAGACAUUUAUCAGUUUCUUUUGGUUAACUGUGAGGAGAUAGGCUGCGGUUUUAGGGAAGAAGCAAUUGAAAAGACUGAAAUACCCUUUAGAUUGAGUAUCAAAAGUGGCAGAAAAUAACAACUUGAAGGAUUAGAAAUGUUCGAUUUGAAAGGGUGAUUUACAAAAGUGGCAUAUUUCUCAAUACUUGGAGGGAGGAUCAAAAUUGGUAUUAAUUCAACUAAAUAAAUACGCGAUCCCCUUCCCUUUAGCAACACUUGAGCUUGAUUUUAACUCCUCUUGAGCUAAAGAAAUACCAAUAUACCAUUAAGAAUGUUAAUCGUAUUGAGUCAGUUUGAACCACUUCAUUUUAGGACUAAGGUUUCUCCGUUUUUAAUUUUUGUAUUCUCUUCAGUGGUAAAAUGGUUCCCAUUUCACCUGUUGAGAUAGAUUGGACUAACUAAUUAAAACACAAAUUUUUGUUUAUUCUUUGUUA